UACGUAGGGUGCAAGCGUUAAUCGGAAUUACUGGGCGUAAAGCGUGCGCAGGCGGCUCCUUAAGUCAGAUGUGAAAGCCCCCGGGCUUAACCUGGGAACUGCGUUUGAAACUGGGGAGCUAGAGUGUGGAAGAGGGGGGUGGAAUUCCAGGUGUAGUGGUGAAAUGCGCAGAUAUCAGGAGGAACACCGGUGGCGAAGGCGGGUCUCUGGGCCGUAACUGACGCUGAGGAGCGAAAGCAUGGGGAGCGAACAGG
rnacentral:rRNA from 1 species